UAUCGAGAUCUCAGCUUCCUUCAUAAGCUCCCACACGAAUUGCUUGAUUCACUGGUUAGACGAUUGGGUCUGUAGCUCAGUUGGUUAGAGCGCACCCCUGAUAAGGGUGAGGUCGGCAGUUCGAAUCUGCCCAGACCCACCAAUUGUUGGUGUGCUGCGUGAUCCGAUACGGGGCCAUAGCUCAGCUGGGAGAGCGCCUGCUUUGCACGCAGGAGGUCAGGAGUUCGAUCCUCCUUGGCUCCACCAUCUAAAACAAUCGUCGAAAGCUCAGAAAUGAAUGUUCGUAGAUGAACAUUGAUUUCUGGUCUUUGCACCAGAACUGUUCUUUAAAAAUUCGGGUAUGUGAUAGAAGUAAGACUGAAUGAUCUCUUUCACUGGUGAUCAUUCAAGUCAAGGUAAAAUUUGCGAGUUCAAGCGCGAAUUUUCGGCGAAUGUCGUCUUCACAGUAUAACCAGAUUGCUUGGGG
rnacentral:tRNA from 1 species